rnacentral:tmRNA from 1 species
GGGGGCGACCUGGUUUCGACGUGGGUUGCAAAGCAGUUAGGGCAUACCGAGGAGCGGGCUACCUCGUUAAUCCAUCCGUCAAAAAGAUAGUCGCCAACGACGAAUCUUACGCUCUGGCCGCUUAAGGCCGGACGCUGCACCGAUCGGCCUGCGGGUCGGGCUGGGUAAAACCAGCAGCAGCGUCAUAAACAGCAGGAGCAAGGCAAGCCUGAGCCGCGGGGGCUUGCACGGAAACCUAGCGGAUCGCUCGUAACCAGCCUGCCGGUCGGCGGGUUGCGGGUCAAAUCAAACGACCAGGCUAAGUAUGUAGAACUGACUGUAGAGGGCUUGCGGACGCGGGUUCGAUCCCCGCCGCCUCCACCA